rnacentral:rRNA from 1 species
UGAGCUCCCCUGGCGCCUGUUUAUCAAAAACAUGGUUUUUUGAAAUAAUGAAAAAUUUAACCUGCUCCCUGCUGUAUGUAAAUAGCCGCAGUAUUUUGACUGUGCUAAGGUAGCAUAAUCAUUUGUCUUUUAAUUGAAGGCUGGAAUGAAAGGUUUGACGAAAUAAAUGCUGUCUUUAUUUUUUUUUUUGAAAUUAAUUAGCUGGUAAAAAGGCCAUUAUGAUUCUGUGGGACGAUAAGACCCUAUUAAGCUUAAUUUUAGAAUUUUACUGGGGCGGUAAUUUAAGAUUAGAAUCUUAAUAUAAAGGAGCAAGUAAUUAGUCCCAAUUAUUAUUGAGUGUUAGAAUAAGUUACUAUAGGGAUAACAGCUUAAUUUUUUUAAUGAGUACUUAUUUUAAAAAAAGUUUGUGACCUCGAUGUUGAAUUAAGAUUUCUGUUUGGUGAAGUACCUAAAUUAAAAGGUCUGUUCAACCUUUAAAUUUUUACGUGAUCUGAGUUCAAACCGGCCAGGGGAAACUA